rnacentral:misc_RNA from 1 species
GAAAUGCGAUACGUGAUGUGAAUUGCAGAAUCUCGUGAAUCAUCUAAUCUUUGAACGCACAUUGCACUCUAGCUUGCUAGAGUAUGCCUGUUUGAGUAUCUAAUGUAUCUCUUUCCGGUUUAUUCCGGAAGAUGUGGGGCUUCUCUUGCAAAAGAGUGCUCUGAAUUGGAUCGCCCAGCAGCGAGCUUCGUUAUGACGGCCUGCACGGCUGCCGAAAGGUAUAUGCAUGGAACUGUGGUUUCUAAUUGUGCCUACUAGGCGGUAGCAGCGCCCAGCGUUGUCAGUUGCUGGUUAACCAUAGUGCUUGCACUGAACCAUGGUCUCAAAUCAGGUAGGACUACCCGCUGAACUUAA